CAGAAAAUCAUACACAUCUGGGAUGGCAUGAGGGGCAUUUUGAGACAAUGCAAACAGAUGUAGAGAGAGUUAGAGACGUGUGGAGACAUGCACAGUUUCAUUAGAAAGAAGACACUGAUGAAAAUUCACUCAAGAGCAACAGAUAAACUAUGAUUGAGACUGACCAUGGUAGACAAAAC